rnacentral:rRNA from 1 species
GAUGAACGCUGGCGGCGUGCCUAAUACAUGCAAGUCGAGCGAAUGGAUUAGGAGCUUGCUCUUAUGAAGUUAGCGGCGGACGGGUGAGUAACACGUGGGUAACCUGCCCAUAAGACUGGGAUAACUCCGGGAAACCGGGGCUAAUACCGGAUAACAUUUUGAACCGCAUGGUUCGAAAUUGAAAGGCGGCUUCGGCUGUCACUUAUGGAUGGACCCGCGUCGCAUUAGCUAGUUGGUGAGGUAACGGCUCACCAAGGCAACGAUGCGUAGCCGAGCUGAGAGGGUGAUCGGCCACCCUGGGACUGAGACACGGCCCAGACUCCUACGGGAGGCAGCAGUAGGGAAUCUUCCGCAAUGGACGAAAGUCUGACGGAGCAACGCCGCGUGAGUGAUGAAGGCUUUCGGGUCGUAAAACUCUGUUGUUAGGGAAGAACAAGUGCUAGUUGAAUAAGCUGGCACCUUGACGGUACCUAACCAGAAAGCCACGGCUAACUACGUGCCAGCCGCCGCCGUAA